rnacentral:rRNA from 1 species
UACGUAGGGUGCAAGCGUUAAUCGGAAUUACUGGGCGUAAAGCGUGCGCAGGCGGUUUGUAAGUUUGUCGUGAAAGCCCCGGGCUCAACCUGGGAAUUGCGAUGGAUACUGGCGGGCUAGAGUGCGGUAGAGGAGAGUGGGAAUUCCCGGGUGUAGCAGUGAAAUGCGUAGAUAUCGUGAGGAACACCAGAGGCGAAGGCGGCU